UGAGUCGGCCGGGUGGCCGCGGCUCGGCAGCGACCGGGUCGAGGAAGGUCGGGGCUCCACAGGGCAGGGUGCUGGCUAGCGGCCAGUCGGGGUGACCCGCAGGAAAGUGCCACAGAGAACAGACCGCCGAUGGCCCGGAAGGGCACAGGUAAGGGUGAAACGGUGCGGCAAGAGCGCACCAGCGCCCGGGGCGACCCGGGCGGCUCGGUAAACCCCACCCGGAGCAAGGCCGAACAGGGGAGGGUGCCCGCCCAAUUCCCCAGGUAGGCCGCAUAGAUGGAUGGCCACCACGUCGCCCCCGGGCGACGACAGAACCCCGCCUACAGGCCGACUCACCGU
rnacentral:RNase_P_RNA from 1 species